ensembl:misc_RNA Metazoa_SRP Metazoan signal recognition particle RNA
GCCAGGCGUGUUGGCAUGCGCCUGUAGUCCCAGCUACUUGGGAGGCUGAGGCAGAAGAAUCGCUUAAACCCAGGAGGCAGAGGUUGCAGUGAGCCAAGAUCGUGCCACUGCACUCCAGCCUGGGUGACAGAGCGAGACUCUGUCUCCA